rnacentral:rRNA from 1 species
UAAUACGGGGGGAGCAAGCGUUGUUCGGAUUUACUGGGCGUAAAGGGCGCGUAGGCGGUCAGCCAAGUCACUUGUGAAAACCGCAGGCUUAACCUGGAGGAGGCCAAGUGAGACUGGGUGACUGGGAGUACAGAAGGGGCAACUGGAAUUCUCGGUGUAGCGGUGAAAUGCGUAGAUAUCGAGAGGAACACCUGAGGCGAAGGCGGGUUGCUGGGCUGUGACUGACGCUGAGGCGCGAAAGCUAGGGUAGCGAACGGGAUUAGAUACCCCGGUAGUCCUAGCCAUAAACGAUGGAUGCUUGGUGUCUGGAGGGAUGAUGACUCUGGGUGCCGCAGCAAACGCGAUAAGCAUCCCGCCUGGGGAGUACGGUUGCAAGGCU